UCCAGACUCCUACGGGAGGCAGCAGUGAGGAAUAUUGGUCAAUGGCCGGAAGGCUGAACCAGCCAAGUCGCGUGAGGGACGACUGCCCUAUGGGUUGUAAACCUCUUUUAUAAGGGAAGAAUAAAUGCUACGUGUAGCAUGAUGCCUGUACCUUAUGAAUAAGCAUCGGCUAACUACGUGCCAGCAGCCGCGGUAAUACGUAGGUGGCAAGCGUUGUCCGGAUUUACUGGGUGUAAAGGGCGUGUAGCCGGGUUGACAAGUCAGAUGUGAAAUCCUGCGGCUUAACCGCAGAACUGCAUUUGAAACUGUUGAUCUUGAGUACUGGAGAGGCAGACGGAAUUCCUAGUGUAGCGGUGAAAUGCGUAGAUAUUAGGAGGAACACCAGUGGCGAAGGCGGUCUGCUGGACAGCAACUGACGGUGAGGCGCGAAAGCGUGGGGAGCAAACAGGAUUAGAUACCCCCGUA
rnacentral:rRNA from 1 species